AUUAAACGCUGGCGGCAUGCCUUACACAUGCAAGUCGAACGGCAGCGGACCUUCGGGUGCCGGCGAGUGGCGAACGGGUGAGUAAUGUAUCGGAACGUACCUUUCAGUGGGGGAUAACGUAGCGAAAGUUACGCUAAUACCGCAUAUUCUGUGAGCAGGAAAGCAGGGGAUCGCAAGACCUUGCGCUGAUUGAGCGGCCGAUAUCAGAUUAGCUAGUUGGUGAGGUAAAGGCUCACCAAGGCGACGAUCUGUAGCGGGUCUGAGAGGAUGAUCCGCCACACUGGAACUGGGACACGGUCAAGACUCCGACGGGAGGCAGCAGUGGGGAAUUUUGGACAAUGGGGGCAACCCUGAUCUAGCCAUGCCGGGUGAGUGAAGAAGGCCUUCGGGUUGUAAAGCUCUUUCGUCCGGGAAGAAAUCGCAUCAGCUAAUACCUGGUGUGGAUAACGGCACCGGAAUAAGAAGCACCGGCUAACUACGUGCCAGCCGCCGCUGUAAGAC
rnacentral:rRNA from 1 species